UCCUGGCUUAGGAUGAACGCUGGCGGCGUGCCUAACACAUGCAAGUCGAACGGAGAUUAACGCUGAUGAGGCUUCGGCGGAAUCUUGUUAAAUCUUAGUGGCGGACGGGUGAGUAACGCGUGGGCAACCUGCCUCGUACUGGGGGAUAACAGUUGGAAACGACUGUUAAUACCGCAUAAGCGCACGGUACCGCAUGGUACAGUGUGAAAAACUCCGGUGGUACGAGAUGGGCCCGCGUCAGAUUAGCCAGUUGGUGGGGUAACGGCCUACCAAAGCAACGAUCUGUAGCCGGACUGAGAGGUCGGACGGCCACAUUGGGACUGAGACACGGCCCAAACUCCUACGGGAGGCAGCAGUGGGGGAUAUUGCACAAUGGGCGAAAGCCUGAUGCAGCGACGCCGCCGUGAGUGAAGAAGUAUUUCGGUAUGUAAAGCUCUAUCAGCAGGGAAGAAAGACUCGUAAGAGAGAUGACGGUACCUGACUAAGAAGCCCCGGCUAACUACGUGCCAGCCGCCGC
rnacentral:rRNA from 1 species